rnacentral:sRNA from 1 species
AAAAAACAACAAUGCGAUGGCUUUGCAAUAUGAUAAAUCGUUCAUGUUAAGAUUAUUAUAAGAGAAUAUUUAAACAAUAAUUAAGGAAUCCAAAAAUAUCAAGAAGGAACCGAUGGGCCUACCUCGAUCGUAUUCAUUUUAAGAUAAUUAACAUUGUACAUAACGUAUCCAAUAUGAAAAUGCCGUAAGAAGAUAUGAUUGAUAAAACAUUUACUUAACCUUUUUCUUAUGUUUAUGCUUUGUUUAUUUUAACAAGUUUUAUUCACUAUUCAUUCUUAUUUUCUACUUCAAAAACACAUAAUUGAUGGCUUAAUAAGGUGUUCUUUGAUAAAAAAAAAUAUUUUCUUCUAUUAAUUUCAACUUAAUUAUAUAUAGUGUACUCUUUCCCUGUGAACCCUACGCCCUUAUUGAAGUAAUUUCCCUAAAAUUUUAUGUUUUAAUAGAUGAUGUUUGUACCCACGAUUAAAAAUUAUUUGAAAAUGCACCUAAUAAAUUUGUAUCUUCUUGGGAAUUACCUAGAUCUAUAUUCACAUCAGUACCACAUCUUUUCAUUCGUUAUUUAAACACAUGUGUUUUUAUCCUUAAUUCAUGCAAUAAUAUAGAUGGUUUAUAAUGUUUCUUUGCAUAUGAUUUAUCUCCAGUAUUUCUAUUGUUUUAUUGUUAUUUAAAGGAAAUGUUGUAAAAUAUUGCAAAUGUCUUAAUAUGCUUAUUAAUAAAAGCGCUACUUUGUAGACUAAUUCGUAUGCAAGU